CAGUCGCCGCGGGAAUACGAAGGGUGCAAGCGUUAAUCGGAAUUACUGGGCGUAAAGCGUGCGUAGGCGGUGAGUUAAGUCUGCUGUGAAAUCCCCGGGCUCAACCUGGGAAUGGCAGUGGAUACUGGCUCGCUAGAGUGUGUCAGAGGAUGGUGGAAUUCCCGGAGUAGUGGUGAAAUGCGUAGAGAUCGGGAGGAACAUCAGUGGCGAAGGCGGCCAUCUGGGACAACACUGACGCUGAGGCACGAAAGCGUGGGGAGCAAACAGGAUUAGAUACCCCAGUAGUCCCUGUCUCUUAUAA
rnacentral:rRNA from 1 species